rnacentral:rRNA from 1 species
UAGAGCGGACAGAAGGGAGCUUGCACCCGGAUGUUAGCGGCGGACGGGUGAGUAACACGUGGGUAACCUGCCUGUAAGACUGGGAUAACUCCGGGAAACCGGAGCUAAUACCGGAUAGUUCCUUGAACCGCAUGGUUCAAGGAUGAAAGACGGUUUCGGCUGUCACUUACAGAUGGACCCGCGGCGCAGUAUCUAGUUGGUGGGGUAAUGGCUCACCAAGGCGACGAUGCGUAGCCGACCUGAGAGGGUGAUCGGCCACACUGGGACUGANACACGGCCCAGACUCCUACGGGAGGCAGCAGUAGGGAAUCUUCCGCAAUGGACGAAAGUCUGACAGAGCAACGCCGCGUGAGUGAUGAAGGUUUUCGGAUCGGACAGCUCUGUUGUUAGGGAAGAACAAGUGCGAGAGUAACUGCUCGCACCUUUACGGUACCUAACCAGAAAGCCACGGCUAACUACGUGCCAGCAGCCGCGGUAAUACGUAGGUGGCAAGCGUUGUCCGGAAUUAUUGGGCGUAAAGGGCUCGCAGGCGGUUUCUUAAGUCUGAUGUGAAAGCCCCCGGCUCAACCGGGGAGGGUCAUUGGAAACUGGGAAACUUGAGUGCAGAAGAGGAGAGUGGAAUUCCACGUGUAGCGGUGAAAUGCGUAGAGAUGUGGAGGAACACCAGUGGCGAAGGCGACUCUCUGGUCUGUAACUGACGCUGAGGAGCGAAAGCGUGGGGAGCGAACAGGAUUAGAUACCCUGGUAGUCC